rnacentral:rRNA from 1 species
GACGAACGCUGGCGGCGUGCUUAACACAUGCAAGUCGAACGGAAAGGCCCUGCUUUUGUGGGGUGCUCGAGUGGCGAACGCGGGAGUAACACGUGAGUAACCUGCCCUUGACUUUGGGAUAACUUCAGGAAACUGGGGCGAAUACCGGAUAGGAGCUCCUGCUGCAUGGUGGGGGUUGGAAAGUUUCGGCGGUUGGGGCUGGACUCGCGGCUUAUCAGCUGGUUGGUGGGGUAGUGGCUUACCAAGGCUUUGACGGGUAGCCGGCCUGGGAGGGUGGCCGGGGACCUUGGGACUACGAGACGGCCCAGUCUCCUAUGGGAGGCAGCAGUCGGGAAUCUUGCAGAAUGGGGGGAAGCCUGAUGCAGCGACGCCGCGUGCGGAAUGACGGGCUUUGGGUUAUAAACCGCUUUCGAAUGUGACGAAGCGUGCGUGACGGUAAUGGGUAAAGAAGCACCGGCUAACUACGUG